UUAACGAGGAACAAUUGGAGGGCAAGUCUGGUGCCAGCAGCCGCGGUAAUUCCAGCUCCAAUAGCGUAUAUUAAAGUUGUUGCAGUUAAAAAGCUCGUAGUUGAACCUUGGGCCUGGCUGGCCGGUCCGCCUCACCGCGUGCACUGGUCCGGCCGGGCCUUUCCCUCUGGGGAACCGCAUGCCCUUCGCUGGGCGUGCCGGGGAACCAGGACUUUUACUUUGAAAAAAUUAGAGUGUUCAAAGCAGGCCUAUGCUCGAAUACAUUAGCAUGGAAUAAUAGAAUAGGACGUGUGGUUCUAUUUUGUUGGUUUCUAGGACCGCCGUAAUGAUUAAUAGGGACAGUCGGGGGCAUCAGUAUUCAACUGUCAGAGGUGAAAUUCUUGGAUUUAUUGAAGACUAACUACUGCGAAAGCAUUUGCCAAGGAUGUUUUCAUUAAUCAGGAACGAAAGUUAGGGGAUCGAAGACGAUUGAGAUACCGUCGUAGUCUUAACCAUAAACUAUGCCGACUAGGGAUCGGACGACGUUAUUUUUUGACUCGUUCGGCACCUUACACGAAAGUAUAAG
rnacentral:rRNA from 1 species